ensembl:misc_RNA 7SK 7SK RNA
AGAUGUGAGGGCGAUCUGGCUGCAACAUCUGUCACUCCAUUGAUCGCCAGGGUUGAUUCGGCUGAUCUGACUGGCUAGGCGGGUGGCCCCUUCCUCUCUCACCUCUCCGUGUGUGCUUGGUCGAAGAGGACGACCUUCCCCGAAUAGAAGAGGGCGGGUGCAAGCAUUUCCUACCAUAUUUCUUACUUUGGUCCAGUUUUGGAGAGUGACCCUUUCUUUCCUCUAAAGCAGUUAAUUUACAUCAAAAUGAUUGCUGUUGUGUAUCCAUCACGGGGCUAAAGCUUCUUU